AUACGGGACUCAUCCGAGGCCCCGUAAUCGGAAUGAGUAUACUCUAAAUCCUUGUACAAGUAUCAAUUGGAGGGCAAGUCCGGUGCCAGCAGCCGCGGUAAUUCCAGCUCCAAUAGCGUAUAUUAAAGUUGUUGCGGUUAAAAAGCUCGUAGUUGGAUCUGUGUCCUUCGACGCCGGUUCACCGCAUGUCGGUGCCAACUGGCGUUUUGCGGGACGUCUUGUCGGUGGUGUGCCAGGGAUCUUUGUUGUGCUGGGCUUUGCCCUAGUGCAGCUCUGGUUUCGGGCCACUUUCAUAAUCCCGCCGCGGUGCUCUUAAUCGGGUGUCGAGGCGGGCCGGCACGUUUACUUUGAACAAAUUAGAGUGCUUAAAGCAGGCUUGUCACGCCUGUAUACUGUGUGCAUGGAAUAAUGGAAUAGGACCUCGGUUCUAUUUUGUUGGUUUCCGGAAUCUGAGGUAAUGAUCAAUGGGGACAGGCGGGGGCAUUCGUAUUGCGACGUUAGAGGUGAAAUUCUUGGAUCGUCGCAAGACGGACCGAAGCGAAAGCAUUUGCCAAGUAUGUUCCCGUCGAUCAAGAACGAAAGUUAGAGGUUCGAAGGCGAUCAGAUACCGCCCUAGUUCUAACCAUAAACAAUGCCUGCCAGCGAUCCGCCGGCGUCUUUUCCGAUGACCCGGCGGGCAGCUUCCGGGAAACCAGAGCUUUUGGGUUCCGGGGGAAGUAUGGUUGCAAAGCUGAAACUUAAAGGAAUUGACGGAAGGGCACCACCAGGAGUGGAGCCUGCGGCUUAAUUUGACUCAACACGGGAAAACUCACCAGGCCCGGACACCGGAAGGAUUGACAGAUUGAUAGCUCUUUCUUGAUUCGGUGGGUGGUGGUGCAUGGCCGUUCUUAGUUGGUGGAGCGAUUUGUCUGGUUAAUUCCGAUAACGAACGAGACUCUAGCCUACUAACUAGACGUAUCUGGUAUCAGCAAUCGUGCUACCAGCGAUCAUAUCUCUUCUUAGAGGGACAGGCGGCUUCUAGCCGCACGAGACUGAGCAAUAACAGGUCUGUGAUGCCCUUAGAUGUCCUGGGCCGCACGCGCGCUACACUGAAGGAAUCAGCGUGUCUUCCCUGUCCGAAAGGACCGGGUAACCCGCUGAACCUCCUUCGUGCUUGGGAUUGGGGCUUGCAAUUAUUCCCCAUGAACGAGGAAUUCCCAGUAAGCGCGAGUCAUAAGCUCGCGUUGAUUACGUCCCUGCCCUUUGUACACACCGCCCGUCGCUACUACCGAUUGAAUGAUUUAGUGAGGUCUUCGGACCGGUGCGCGGAGGCGGUUUACCGCUCCCGAUGUUGUCGGAAAGAUGACCAAACUUGAUCAUUUAGAGGAAGUAAAAGUCGUAACAAGGUUUCCGUAGGUGAACCUGCGGAAG
rnacentral:rRNA from 1 species